rnacentral:rRNA from 1 species
AAAUUGAAGAGUUUGAUCAUGGCUCAGAUUGAAUGCUGGCGGCAGGCCUAACACAUGCAAGUCGAACGGUAACAGGAAACAGCUUGCUGUUUCGCUGACGAGUGGCGGACGGGUGAGUAAUGUCUGGGAAACUGCCUGAUGGAGGGGGAUAACUACUGGAAACGGUAGCUAAUACCGCAUAACGUCGCAAGACCAAAGAGGGGGACCUUCGGGCCUCUUGCCAUCGGAUGUGCCCAGAUGGGAUUAGCUAGUAGGUGGGGUAACGGCUCACCUAGGCGACGAUCCCUAGCUGGUCUGAGAGGAUGACCAGCCACACUGGAACUGAGACACGGUCCAGACUCCUACGGGAGGCAGCAGUGGGGAAUAUUGCACAAUGGGCG